UCGGAGUUUAAGAAGCAUUUGGACUGUGCUGUUGUCAUAUGGUCUGAAUUCUGAUUUUUGGGUAGACCUGUGUGGACCCAGGAGUUGGACUCGAUGUGGGUCCCUUCCAACUCGGGAUAUUCUAUGAUUCUAGUUCACUAGAAGAAUUAAUACAAUAUAGGAUUUCUUUUUCCUCCAAUACUAGGAAUCAUGUAACAUCCAAGUGAGAGGUUCGAGGACCACACAUCUGGACAUUUGCUCAGCAGCAUACUGCCUGCUAAGGGGAAACAAUUUUUAUUUUGUACAUGGUGAGAGAACUCUGAAGUUUCCAGCUAAUGGCUGCUUGAAGGUACCAAGUGAAGAUGAACUACUUAACUUCAAGAUUAGUCUAAACCUAAGAAGAAUCCUGCUCUGAAACGCUGUCAUGAUAAAAGUCUUUACAGAUAUUAUUGCAGCUGGAAUGGAAAAUUUUCCCCUGUACUCACAGAGGAGUUUCAUUUGUGAAGAAAAUGAAUGAAGUUUAAAUAGCUAAAAGUGAUCUAAAUAACUAACAUAUCUGAUCCCACAUCCAACUCAUUUAACACAAGAUAAUACAGUGACAGUAUUACCACAGAAGUUUGGUAAUGAGAAGGGAGAUUUUUGAUUUUCCAGGCUGGCUGGUGGCAAUCCACAUGUGCUCUAGAUGAAACACUGAAAUCAGGCAGUCAUACUGUUGACAAGUUAGCCGUGCUUCCCUACUCUAAAACCCCUGUGGGUUUCAAUGAGACUAUUCAUGCAG
rnacentral:lncRNA from 1 species